AGGUCAGUGUGGGGGACACGGAGUCAGGGUGGGGGACAUGGCAUGGGACAUGGGGUCAGUGCAGGGGACACGGGACGGGACACGGGGUCAGUGUAGGGGACACAGGAUGAGACAUGAGGUCAGCACGGGUAACAUAGGAUGGGACAUGGGGUCAGUGCGGGGGACACAGNNNNNNNNNNNNNNNNNNNNNNNNNNNNNNNNNNNNNNNNNNNNNNNNNNNNGUCAGGGUGGGGGACAUGGGAUGGGACAUGGGGUCAGGAUGGGGGACACGGGAUGGGACAUGGGGUCAGUGUGGGAGACAUGGAGUCAGGGUGGGGGACACGGAGUCAGGGUGGGGGACAUGGGAUGGGACAUGGGGUCAGGGUGGGGGACACGGGAUGUGACAUUGGGACAGCGUGGGGGACACGGGAUGAGACAUGGGGUCAGCACGGGGGACAUGGGAUGGGACAUGGGGUCAGUGUGGGGGACACAGAGUCAGGGUGGGGGACACGGGAUGGGACACGGGGUCAGUGUGGGGGACACAGAGUCAGGGUGCGGGGACAUGGGAUGGGACAUGGGGUCAGGGUGGGGGACACAGGAUGGGACAUGGGGUCAGGGUGGGGGACAUGGGAUGGGACAUGGGGUCAGGGUGGGGGACAUGGGAUGGGACACGGGGUCAGGGUGGGGGACACGGGAUGCGCUGUGGGGCUGCUCAGAGGCCGGGGUCUGCGUGUCCCCCCCCGUGCUCCUGCGAACCCCGCGUCCUCCGUGGCGCUGCCCGAGGGGACACCGUCACGGGGGCGCGCGCGGCACCUCGCCGGUGGCGCAGGCGGCCCCUGCGAUGGUGACGCUCCGCCCUUCCCUGGGACGCGGGCCCCGCCCCGCCGCGGCGGGACCAAUAGAAGCGGCAGGACCCCCGAGGAGGGCAGGGUCUGUAGAUGGGAGGGGACCCGUCGUCCCUCUAUGCAAAUACAAGCCUGACUAUUUGCCCGCCCGGAAGCGCUCGGGCCGCGCCCUCUCUCUCACCACGUGCUUUCCCAGCCGGCUCCCACUGGCGGGCGAGCGGACGGGGGCGGGACCCGCGGCGCGCGCCGAGGGAAGCGGGGCGGGCCGAUGACAGGCGGGACCCUGCGCCAAUGGGACGGCGG
rnacentral:lncRNA from 1 species